GAGGGUUAAAUAAGAAAAAUAAAAUUGUAGGUUAAUCUUUUUAGAUUUUUGUGUGUUGGCUUGCAACUUUAUCAUGAUAAGUCAUAUAGUCUUUGUUGGCUUGCAACUUUAUCAUGAAGGAAAGUUGUAUAGUCUGUUAUUCAAAAUUUUGCAUUGCUAACCCUACAUGUAUUAUGCCAUAGAUCCCGAAGCACCGGAAGGAGAUUAUUGGGAAUUUUCAGAAGGACCUUCGGAAUCCGAAGAAGUUUUUGAGUUAGUUCCCUGUGAAGCCCACCCGUCG
rnacentral:lncRNA from 1 species